AUGGCUUCCACAUGCAUCUCCAUACUUGUGCUUCUCUUCAUGUUGAGUGGACUGAGAGCUCAGUCAGUGACUCAACCGGAUGCCCAGGUUACUGUCUCUGAAGGGAAUCCUCUGACUGUGAAAUGCACCUAUUCGGUUUCUAGGAGCCCUUAUCUCUUUUGGUACGUCCAGUAUCCCCAGGAAGGCCUCCAGUUUCUUCUAAAAUACAUCACAGGGGACAACCUGGUUAAAGGCAACUAUGGUUUUGAGGCUGAAUUUAAUAAGAGCCAAACCUCUUUUCACCUGAAGAAAGCAUCUGCCCUUGGGAGCGACUCUGCUGUGUACUUCUGUGCUGUGAGUGACACACUGAUGGAGCUUCAAGGGAAGCUGAACACAAACCCUUGA